CAGCAGCCGCGGGAAUACGUAGGGGGCAAGCGUUGUCCGGAAUUAUUGGGCGUAAAGCGCGCGCAGGCGGUUCUUUAAGUCUGGUGUAUAAGUGCGGGGCUCAACCCCGUGAGGCACUGGAAACUGGGGAACUUGAGUGCAGAAGAGGAGAGCGGAAUUCCACGUGUAGCGGUGAAAUGCGUAGAGAUGUGGAGGAACACCAGUGGCGAAGGCGGCUCUCUGGACUGUAACUGACGCUGAGGCGCGAAAGCGUGGGGAGCAAACAGGAUUAGAUACCCCAGUAGUCCCUGUCUCUUAUACA
rnacentral:rRNA from 1 species